UGGGGAAUAUUGCACAAUGGGCGAAAGCCUGAUGCAGCAACGCCGCGUGAGGGACGACGGCCUUCGGGUUGUAAACCUCUUUUAGCAAGGAAGAAGCGAAAGUGACGGUACUUGCAGAAAAAGCGCCGGCUAACUACGUGCCAGCAGCCGCGGUAAUACGUAGGGCGCAAGCGUUAUCCGGAAUUAUUGGGCGUAAAGAGCUCGUAGGCGGUUUGUCGCGUCUGCUGUGAAAACCCGAGGCUCAACCUCGGGCCUGCAGUGGGUACGGGCAGACUAGAGUGCGGUAGGGGAGAUUGGAACUCCCGGUGUAGCGGUGGAAUGCGCAGAUAUCAGGAAGAACACCGAUGGCGAAGGCAGAUCUCUGGGCCGUAACUGACGCUGAGGAGCGAAAGGGUGGGGAGCAAACAGGCUUAGAUACCCUGGUAGUCCACCCCGUAAACGUUGGGAACUAGUUGUGGGGUCCAUUCCACGGAUUCCGUGACGCAGCUAACGCAUUAAGUUCCCCGCCUGGGGAGUACGGCCGCAAGGCUAAAACUUAAAGGAAUUGACGGGGUCAUAGCUGUUUCCU
rnacentral:rRNA from 1 species